GAGUCAUGCUUCUCUGCUAUAGAGGCCUCUGCACAUAUAUCCACAGGACAGAAAAGGAUGGCCAAGCGUUCCUGAAUUUUCCAUGUUCCAGUCCAGUCUGAUCUGCAUCGUCUGGUCCAGCACACUGGUUCUAGCCAAGAUAACAAGAAUAGUUAGAGGACAUGCUGCCACUUUAAUUUGGAUUUCUAGACUCGCAGUCAAAGUGCUGAAGUGACCAUCCUCAUAAAUAUUUGAGUCGACACAAAUCUGGAAACACUCACCAUUUAUAAAGAAAACCAAGGUUAUUAUAUUAUUGCUCACAUUAGCAAUACUUUUGGCAUAUAAGAUAGAAAUGUAAGCAAA